GACGAACGCUGGCGGCGUGCUUAACACAUGCAAGUCGAACGGAAAGGCCCUGCUUUUGUGGGGUGCUCGAGUGGCGAACGGGUGAGUAACACGUGAGUAACCUGCCCUUGACUUUGGGAUAACUUCAGGAAACUGGGGCUAAUACCGGAUAGGAGCUCCUGCUGCAUGGUGGGGGUUGGAAAGUUUCGGCGGUUGGGGAUGGACUCGCGGCUUAUCAGCUUGUUGGUGGGGUAGUGGCUUACCAAGGCUUUGACGGGUAGCCGGCCUGAGAGGGUGACCGGCCACCUUGGGACUGAGGUACGGCCCAGACUCCUACGGGAGGCAGAAGUGGGGAAUAUUGCACAAUGGGCGGAAGCCUGAUGCAGCAACGCCGCGUGCGGGAUGACGGCCUUCGGGUUGUAAACCGCUUUCGCCUGUGACGAAGCGUGAGUGACGGUAAUGGGUAAAGAAGCACCGGCUAACUACGUG
rnacentral:rRNA from 1 species